rnacentral:misc_RNA from 1 species
GCCCGACCGCGCCGCCGCCGCCGCGCACGCGCUGGCGCACCGCCAGGCCGAGCGCUUCGUCUGCGGCUACGACGCCUGCAUCCUGCGCUUCUCCACCAGAAGUGAUCUGCUGGCGCAUAUUCGCAAGUGCCACGCGGGCGCCGCGCCCGAACCCGCGCCCUCUGUGCCCUCCACCACCUGCCCGCAGUGCGGCCGCACGUUCGGCUCCGUGGCUGCCAUGAAGCGACACGCAAGAGUGCACCGCAAGGAAAUCCAACAGGAAUCGGACUGGCAGAUUGACGGUGGGGUGGUGGAGACCCUCGACAUAGGGGAAGGAGAGGUUUUAGAGGGGGAUGUCGAGUACCUGGAGGUGGAGGCUCUGGACGACUUCGAUGAUGACCGACGAGACUCAGGGUACUGAUGUUCUUUCACCGUGUCAGGACUGCCUGGACCUAAAUCUGAGAAAGUGCAACUGAAAACUGCAGUUAAUAUUUUGCCUAUCAACUUGUUUCAUGAAAAAUUCUUUUAUUAUCUCAUCAUAUCAUUCUUCUAUUUCUUUCCUUAUCUCAUACAAACCAAACAAAAAUUAUAACCAGAUUUUAGAAUGGUAUAAUGUCCUAAAUCACAAUUCUAAAUAUAUACUAAAUAUUGCUGCUACUUGACGAUGUGUCAUUAAUUAAAAAUAUUCUCUGUUCUCAAUCUCAAUCAAAUUAUGAUUGACCAGACCAGUCAACCAUUCAGACAUUGACAUAUCCCGUCUUUCUUCAUUUUAUCAUCACUGAUAUUAGUGAAAACAUCUGUGCUAUCUCUGCACUUUUGAAAGCUAUCAAAUUGACAGUUAAUACAUUAUAUAUAUUAAUACACUAAGGUUGAGAUGUUUGCCUCCCUAUUUAGAAAAAACCUCACAAUUACUCCACAUAAAUUAUAUCGCUGGCCCCGGGCAAUAAAGCGGUAUACGCCUGUUACACCCUUUUUAAUGUUAUUUAAUUUUUGGCUUCUCUGAGUAUCAAUCUAUC